UACGAAGGGUGCUAGCGUUGUUCGGAAUGACUGGGCGUAAAGGGCGUGUAGGCGGCUUUGUGCGUCAGAUGUGAAAUCCCUGGGCUUAACCUAGGAACUGCAUUUGAUACGGCAAAGCUAGAGAUGGAUAGAGGGUAGUGGAAUUGCGAGUGUAGAGGUGAAAUUCGUAGAUAUUCGCAGGAACACCGGUGGCGAAGGCGCCACUCUGGGCCGGUACUGACGCUGAGGAGCGAAAGCGUGGGUAGCAAACAGG
rnacentral:rRNA from 1 species